rnacentral:snoRNA from 1 species
ACUUUUUACCCUUUCUUAUCAGAUCUGAACACAGAAAAAGUAAUGCUGAACCUUGCCUCGAAGCCUUAGAGUCUGGUAUAGAACAUGUGGGCUAGUUUCAAACCAGG